AUGGCGGAAGGAAAAGGGGGCCACGGUAAUGAAUCCGAAAAUGAUGCCAAGCAACAUAUCGGUUCCGAGGAAGUAGACGUUCUCGGGACGGUCGUAGUGGAAGUAGUGGUACUAUCUGUCCUCAGAGAUGGUAGUGGAAGUAGUGGUUCACGAGUCGAAGAGGAAAUGGCCGUUCAUGUUCGGGAAGCGGUAGAGGUCCGGAUCUUCGGCAACGGUCGUCAUACACGCUCCGUGUUCAUCGGUAGAGGUUCUCACAUGCUCCAGCGUCAUCGUGUAGUCGUACAUCGAGGCAGGGGCAGCUCGGCCACGCGCGCUGGACGGGUAGAGGCAGACCUGAGCAUGGUCAAUGCCCACACGCGCUCGUCCCUGGGUGGAUGCGAAGUAGGGCAGACUUUCCUGCUCGAGCAGGUGCGAGGCAAAGGAGGUCGCCGGAGUUGGCCGCUCCGGUGGAGGAAGCCGAGGAGCUCAAGGAGAACCUAG
rnacentral:rRNA from 1 species